rnacentral:rRNA from 1 species
UUUANNGGCCGGGCAAGUCUGGUGCCAGCAGCCGCGGUAAUUCCAGCUCCAAUAGCGUAUAUUAAAGUUGUUGCAGUUAAAAAGCUAGUAGAUGAACCUUGGGUCUGGCUGGCCGGUCCGCCUCACCGCGAGUACUGGUCCGGCUGGACCUUUCCUUCUGGGGAACCUCAUGGCCUUCACUGGCUGUGGGGGGAACCAGGACUUUUACUGUGAAAAAAUAAGAGGGUUCAAAGCAGGCCUUUGCUUGAAUCCAUUAGCAUGGAAUGAGCAAAUACGACCUGCGAUUACUUUAAGUUGGUUUCUGGAACAGCCCUGGUGUUCCCCACGGCCAGUGAGGGGCGUCAGUAUUCCCCGGUCUGAGGUGCCAGCCGGGCCUGGACGAGGACCAAGGCGGGCGAACCCGCCAGUCCCGAAAUAUUCNCGACAGGGAACGAAAGCACUAUGGUCAUCUCGUCUCUGGAGCUAAUCCNNNNU